CGGGCCGGGGCUGGGCGCCCCGCAGGGGGCUGAGCGCCUGCUGCUACUGCUCUGGCCUCAGCGCCGCGGCCUCGGGGCUCUGCCCGCCCGCCCGCAGGGGGUGCUCCGGCUGCCCUGGGGUGCUGCCCUUCCCUUGUGAAGUGGCGCCGAGAUGAAAGGUGUCCUGGUGUGCUCCUUCCUGGUGUCUUUAUUUUUCGUGUUUCUUUCGUUCCUGUAGGGUCUCGCGUUGUUUUCUGAUUUCUGCUUGCUGUUCGCACCGCCUUCUUUGCUCUUUCUUGUUGCUUUCUCUUCUCAGGUCCUAGCCACCAGCCUUGUGUUAUCUCCUGGCUCCCCGCUGCCCCUUCCAACAAAUGUCCUGGCGUUGCCCCCAAGGUGUUGCUUACCUAAUGCUCUGCUUUACUCUCCUUUUGGUUUGUGGUCCAACACGGUGAUCUCAUUAGGCACGCUUGAGGGCUCGUGUGUUGCUCUGCUGUCAGCAUCCUUCCCAGGAAUACUUUCUAGUUUUUGUUUGUGGAGUUUCUCUGUGCUCACUGUUUCUGGUAUGCUGUGGCUCUGAUGAACUCUGUGCUUUCAACUUUGCUCUUGAAGGUAAUUUCCUCCCCAGGGAUCUGGCCUCAUAAUAUCAGUUGUUCAUAGUGCUUUAUCCUCUUCAGAAGCUCCUUCUGCUGGUCGCUUGCAGAAGGAUGGAGUUGUAUCUGGUGUUUCGCUCCCAUAGCAGUUACCUUCGUUGUGGUUAAUUGUGAUGUCUCAUUUUGUUCUGCCUGUGUUGCCUUGUGAAUUGUAUCACCUGGGGUAGGUUUGGCUCUGUCUUGCACUGCUGUAAGAUCACUCCCUUGUAAGCUUUCAGUGAACUAUGGGAGAACUUUGUGGCCUUCCUUGGGUCAGCACAGAAUACACUGCAUUGAGCUUCGAACAGCACGCAGUGGGUGUGAUGGCUGGCGCACUUGUUAGUUCACAUUUCCGUGUGCUGGGCUUCUCCAAUUAAACCACGCUUAAUCACUUGUGGACAGAUUUAGAUAAGUUACAAUAUAACUUACAAUAAAUGCAGUUAUAAGCUUUUAAUGAAGCUGAUUUUUCUCUGUCACUUUAAUUUUCGUGUAUGCAUGAAUGGCCUUUGUAAGCCCCCCCCCCCCCCAUUUGUAGAGCAGUAGUCACGCUAUUUAUUAGCCUAGCUUUUGAAGUCUUGUCCUAUAAAGUUUAGUAGACAAUAAGAUCCUUACACAGUGAAAUAAAGUGGAGGGAAGCUAAAUGGAAGCUUUCUGGUUGCCAGUAAUCAUCUUUAUUCCGUGCUCAUUAUUUAUGAAGCUUGUGGUUGUGUAUAGUUUCAUACUGGCUGUGAAUAGUAUCUACUGAAAUUAUUUAAGCUGAUGCAGUGCUUAUUUGUAGCAUAGUUCUGUUUGUGUAGUGAUCUGUUAAUUUUCUAUUGCAAUUCAAAUCUAAAAGUAUAACAGUUUUUAUUGUUAAUCAUGGUGCAUAUAUCAGACUAAACAGAGAAGCUUGUGUCUGGGAACUACAUGGAAUACUUUUUGACAAAUCCGUUUAUGUGUUUAAAUUUUGGCACUUCAGAUCCCUUCUUAAAUCACAGUAACUUGCUGGUAGCAUGCUUUCGUGUGCUCAAUCUCUGGUGUAUAUGAGUAAAGGACGAAAUGUUUUUUGUAAUAGAAUAUAUCACUACUGCAUAUUGCUUACUAGUCAUGGCCCGUGCCUGACCUCAUUGCAUCCUGUAACCUUGCUUAGCCUAGAAAGUUAGGCUGAGCUUACUGACCACAUUCUGUAGUCUCAGCUGGUGUGAAAAUGACUUUAAAUUUGUCAUUAAGGCAAUAUUAACUACGUUUCUUAUCUUCCAGUCCUUGAAACUUCAUGAUGAUGUUAAGCAAUAAUAAAAUGCACAGCAAACAUUCUGUUUAGAUUGUUUCUGUUUCCCCAAAGACCUGGGGGAAAACACCCGUUUUUUGUGUAUUUUGGAGCAUUUGGCAAAACAUACUGCUGAAGUGGCCAUGUGUGAACUUGUAAUAGGGAGUCAUGAAGAGCUCGAUAGGUGCUUUAAGAAUGGUUACUUGAGAAUAGUGAUUCCUGAGAUUAAGUAUUUGUUGCCACAAAAACAAAUACAUAGGAAUAGAUCUACUGACCUGUUCUUACAUUGUUCAGAUGUGUACAGUGAUAUAACUGCCUUACUGAAAGCAUAAGUUUGGUUUGCAUGCAUCAGCAAUGGAAAGCCCAUUGAUACUGCUGCCAAACUAAAACUAUUUGGACUAGCACCAGCAGUAAUAACAUAGCAUGCUGUGCUUUUAAUGUCUGACAUGAAUGUUUCCCUUCACUGACAGAAGUUUAUGAUUUCCAGAGCAUGUAUUCCUGAUGGUCUUAAUAUGGAAACUGUGGUGAUAUGAACACCAUAAUGGCUAAGGCAUCUCCCAGGUUUUCUGAAGUAAUUGGUUGGCUUGAACAUUUAUGACACUGUCUCUUACCACCACCAUGGAAGCAAUAAAGCACUACAGAAUUACUGUGUUAUCAGACUUUGAGUGUCUUUGUACUUCAAGGAUAUAUUUCAAAAUUCUCAGAGAGACUGUAAAGGGACAGGGUUUUAUGGAGGAAGGCGUGAUUUUACCUGUUCUUGUAAGUGAAAGUUUGAAACAUCAAAGCCUGGUUGGAUCUGGUGUGGUAGUAACAUGAGUUGCUACAGGGACCAAGUUUGGAGGAAGCUUAAGCAACAAAUUAGAUCAGAAUCCUAGCUAAGAACAAUGUAAUUGUCGCAAACUGGUAUGCUUAGCUCAACAAAUACUUGGCAAAGCAACCUGUAGUCUUGAUUGGCUUUUAUCCCCAAACAUAUCUUGAAAAUGCAAAAGGAGAUAAGUGCUUUAGAUAAUCCUUUCACUUAAUACAUUAUACAGUGACGUGCAAGAUCUGUCUGUGGAGAUUGUCCGUCAGUUAACUAAUCAAAGUGCCAGCAGAUAUGUGGCUGUCCAGUUGUGUGUCUGACAGUUGUUAUUUGUUUUCUGGUAUGACAUGUAUCGUUAGCAUAGUAACAACCCAAGCCCUGUCUUGCAAAAAUUUCUCUCAAGAACAUCUUAAAGAUGAUGAAAAGUACUGGAGUCAAAACUGACCUGAGGAAAAUUCACGUGCCGUUUCAGUUCAGGCAUGUCUCAACAUCAUGUGCGAGCACUCAGGUAUGACCGAAAACAAUUCAAAACGGCCCCAGGCAUAUCAAGCGUGGCCUUCAGACAGCAUCAUUACAGCCCAGUAUGGAGGCUGAAAUGUCUGCCCUAUCCUCCUUAGCCAACCCUGCUGAGUCCACUGCAGCAUGCAGACGUUUAAGCUGUCUUGUGUGAGUUGGAAGUUAGUUGUCCUGUGCUACAGUCUCCUCUGUUCUAGCACAACCUCUCACGUUUUAAUCAAAGUUCAGCAAUAGAUGUAGGUGUCACAUCUACUGUCUGUAUGAUACUGAAUCUUUUCCCACACUACAGUUUAAACUGCGUGAGCAGUAAGCUCCCGAAGAAAGGAGGUCUCUCUUCUGUGAAAUAAUGUUUUAGGAUCUGAUAGCAAUAACAAAUGUUUUCCCUACUUUACAGGUUAAGAUUGUGUAUUCAGUGCAUUUUAGAUUUGCUAGUUAGCUACCUCUAAGAUAAUGUUUUAAAAUAUCUCUUAUGAACAGUACUGUAUAGCAAAGUCUUUGUGACUAAAUAAUUUGUUUGAUAAAAGUUACGAUACAUUCACCUAUGCAUUACUUCAUUUUUUUAACUUUUAAGCAUUCACCUGUAGUCUAGAAGAUGCCUCCACUUCAAUGUUUUAGCUUGUUUCAAGAGCUCAGUCUGAUAAUAAACUGAAAUAAAGGCCAUGAUGUAGAUCCAGCUUUCUUUUUUUUUAAUGGCAAAUACUGAUUCUGGUGAGGAUGAGAAGCUGUUAGGCUUUGAAGACUUAGGUAUGAUGCUUUUGAGUUUACAGAAUUAAGUAUAUGAAUUCUUUAGUUUUUCUCUUUCCCUUCCUUGUUCUUCAGUAUCUUUUGAAGUCUCUUUACAAAGGCUGAUGAUUCUAGUUUCUGUCUUCAAAGCUUUUUUUGCUGAAUGGAGAUGAAUGCUUGUAAUUAUUCUAGUAAUACUAUAUUCUAGUAAUACUAGUAUCCAAGCUUAAAAUGUCUCCAAUUUAAAUGUAAACUAUUUCCUAUGACUUUCCAUUUUAGUAGUUUAUGGAGUUAGAAAAAGUAAAUAAAUUUGUUACCCUAACUUCACCUGUGAAGUUAAAUACCUAAGCAUGGAAACAACUGGCAUGAUAAAUUAUACUCUUUGCAAUUUUUGACUUUUUAAAAAUAAAAUCUCUAUUUGGAUAUUGAAGGGAACCACGGCUUCAGAAUAAUACAUGCACUUGCAAUGUAAUGGAGGUACAGCAAGAGAAGGGACGAUCUUUUAGUUUUCUACCUUCCUUGGUAAGGAGAUAAAAUGUAUGUUCUGAAAAGGCUUUAACAGCAAGUUCUUAUGUCCAUUUUCCUCAUGCAAUUGAAUAGUGUCACUUCAAGUAACUUGCUCUGUUAGCUGUUACAGCACGUGAACCAAAUGAACUUUUUCCUCUCUUCAGUUUUAUAUCUCUAUGGCCUAAGCUUCCCCACUGCGAUAAACUAAUAUACAGAACUGUAUGCAGAAUACUGGAAUACUGCAUUGUGUGGCUCAUGCUUCAAUUUAUAUCUUGUAGCAAACUAAAACUUAUGAAUACAGAAACAGGGUAAUCAACUUAAGGACAUGCAAAAAGAUAACUUAUUUACUUUUUAAAUCAAGUUUACAAUAAAAUUUGCAAGGUAGUUAUUGAAGAGUUAUAUUUUUCAUGAGAGAACAGCAUCAGCUAUGGUAACUCAUGGGGCCUGAGUUACUGCUGCUUUGUCCACGUAGACAAAGGAAAGGAGCAGCUUUUAUUGUGAUCGAAAGAAUAAAUACAGAAAUCCCGCAUUGACUUGUUAACUAAUAAAAUAGUGUUGGGCUUGUCAUACUGGGCAGAAGCCCUCUGGCAAUUUUGAGUGAUAUUAAUCCUUAGUUACUAUGAAGUCAACAGCUAUUUGUUUACUGAUUGGCAUAUUCACAUUUUUCAUGUGACUAUAUCUUCGCUCUGCUUUUAAUCAGUCGUGGCCUUAAGUUUAUAACACAGACCUGAAGUGCAGCAUUACUCAGUCUUCAUAAGCUGACUGGCCUGCAGGGUGGUGUUAAAAUGUGGUAUCAGUAGAUUCUGUGCAUGGAAGCUGGGUCUGCUAAAUAAAACUUUGGGGGUUUUGUUGUUGUUUCACAGUGCUCAGCCAGCCACACUUUAAUCACAUGCAACCAGUGGAGUGAGCUAUAGCGUGCAGCGAUGUCCUGCAUUGGCAUCUCUCAUACUCAUAGCACAGACUGUCAGGCCGCUUACAGCCUUUGCCUCUGGACUCUAUCAGACACAGUCAGGGCAGGACUAUGGUUGAGGAUGUGCUUAGUAGAAAAUCAUUCCCCAGCCUGUCAAAACACCAAACUUUCAGGAUUUAAUACCUGGGAGUUUUUAGUUGGCAACCUGUAUUCACAGUAUUUGUUUAUCAAAAUUACACAGUCGAGACAGUAAUGUUUAAGAUUCUUUAUUCUCCGUGUGUCUAGUCUCUAAUUGAAAAGACUUGGUCGUCACUACCUUCAGUUUUCUUCAUGCCCACGCACUUUGUUUCAGUACUUAAAUGUUGAUUUCGGGUAACAGGGUAAUGAAAAGAAAACCCAGCUCUUAAGCAUCCUCCGCCACACAGCAGUUUAAUGGAACUUUAAUUUUACCUCUGAAUAUUCCUCCUCAGGUAACUGGAAGUACUAGGCAGUGCAUCAGGACUAAUAAAGCUGAGCUUCGGGUCUAUGCUCAUGCAAAUAAUUGUCAAGUUAGUCUUGCCAGCAGCACUGCAUCUCAGGCAGUGACUGCACGGUGUGUGUGCAUACCAAAUUAUGGAUGUAUUUCUGAGCUUUCAGCACCUACAUUUAUUUCCUGGAUUCCAGGCAGGAUUUUUGAUCCUUUUGGGAGGAGUUGGUUGCAGUCAUCAGUGGCUAUUAGUCGGCCAGAUAGAGCAGAUAGAACAUACCUGUUCGCGAUAAAGAUUCAGGCUGCAUCAGGAAAAAAAGGAUGUGCCCUCGUAUUUCUGAGGUGGCCUGUAGGCAGUAAGUGCUCCAGAUGAAUUAAAAUAGGAAUUUCUGUUUGAUGCAGUAUCAACAUAUUAAGAUCUUACAACUUUCUUUCUUACUCAUAGUAAAGUGUCAGUUUUGGAGUGUAUUGAACUCUAACCACUAUGAUUUAUUAGCAGAAAUUAUUACUACAUCCCAAGAGGUUACUUUUGUCUUUUUGGCACUCAGAACUUGUUUUGCUGGCAUAUUUGUUCCUUGACUCUGGACCACAUUUAAUUUUGAGACUUAGGCUGAAUUUGCAGACCUGUUUCUUAAAGGGAGCUUUUUUGUAACUAUAAAGUGAGCAUGUAUAAUAUAGAAAUUCAGUCUAAAAUCGUAUAAUCUCUGCAGUACUGUUUCUGCAGUAGUUUGUCAGAAUCUUUUUAUUGUUCCUACCUUGCUGAGACUGCUACCAGAGAGCAAAGUGCAGCUGAUAUCAGCAUUUCCUAGGGACUUUUGUCUCACUAGAGUAUUCUGUUCUCAUGCUUUAAAGAUAAUGAAGUGAGUCAUUGUCUUUACAUCUCAUGUGAUUUAUUAUAGACAUAUAUCUCUAAUGCUUUCUGAGGAAAAAAAAAAACAGAUCUUUUGUUCAAACUGGUGGCUUUGAACUAGUAGGCUGGUUGAGAGUUUGCUUAACUAGGGAGUUGCUUAGAUUUAUUUUUUUAAUCUAUAUACUGAGAACGCUUCAGCAGACAAUGGAGCUCACAGGAGCUUUUUGGUGAUUUAUUUUUAUAGGUAUACUGCUUUGGCAUCGAGGAAGAAUAGAUUCAUCAGCACCUUUUAAUCUACAUAGAUAUGUCAGUGGUUCUAUUUUCCUCCUGAAAAAGACUUAGCUGCACUGGAUGCAGGUUGGUUGCUCUGAUAGAGUAGUAGACUGGGCACCUUGAAGAAAAAGGUCAACUUCUGAAGCUUUGAGAGUAUAGCAAACUUCCUAGGCUGAGCAUCAAUACAGGCCAUGUGUUAACAUCUCCAAGUCAUUCUAUCGUUAGCAUUUGAUAUGCUUACUUGUUAUCUAGUUCAAUUUCUGCUGUGAGGAAGGCAAAGCACAGUUAUAACAAGUAGAAUAAAAGGAAAAUUAAGUUUAGGCAUCUCUCCUAACCCAAAGGAUGUAUUUGUAGCAGCGAGUAUCAAACUACUGCCAAGUGUUGGAUGUGAUGUUUGAAGGAGGAUCAGAAUCUGCAAACAACAGGUGAAAGGACCCUGAACUGCAGAGUAGCUCUGUGUGUAGACACACUUGUACUUGGGUGGAAAAUACUGAUAAUUCUUGCUAGAUGCUUGCUGCGUGGUAAAAGAAGUGAAGAGCCAUUCUGCAGAGCGCAGAGAACAGGACAUCUAUGUACCUCCACUAUUAAACAAUUUCUAAGUUACAAGCCUUCAUUACCUACAGUGGCAACUCUUUUGCUGGUCAAUGUUUAAUAGCAGCAAUAGUAAGUCUAUAGACCUGAUGACCUAAAGGAAAGAAGCAACUGCCUUUUUUUUCGUCUUACUUCAAAACAAGAUGCUUAAACAACUUUUAAAUUAUUAGUGAUGUGACUAAUUUUUUUGAAUUGUUGGAUAUCCCUGCUGUUGUACAGAUGACAGUGAGAAUUAUGGGGGUUGCCAGAUUAGUUUUUGGAAUAAACCACGUGGUUUAUACAGGAAGAAAUCCGUUCUGGUGCUGAAGGCUGUGAACUCCCAGAGUUUCCAUGGACCAAUAGGAAAACAAAAUUGCAUGCAUCUUUUUUUCUCAGAAUACCUGUAUCACGGUUCUGUAAUAAGUAUGAUAAUAACUUCAAUUUCUUGGCUAUAGAAGGUGCUGGGAUCUGGUGCUACUAUACUACUAUAUUAUUCUGUGAUUCUUUAAUACUAGCUGUAGAGUGCAGUGAUAGUCACACUGUUAUUUUAAUCUUUGCAGAGUGAAGCAUGGGUCAGUAUAGUCAUUAAUUGCCUGAAAAAGAAGCAUUGAAUAUCCAGAGUUGGAAGGAAUCCACAGGGAUCCUUGAGACCAUCUCCUGGCUUCACACAGGACCACCUAAAAAUCAGACCAUGUGUCUGAGAGCAUAGUCCAAACGCUUCCUGAACUCCAGCAGGCUCGGUGCUGUGACCACUGCCCUGGGGAACCUGUUCAGUGCCCAACCACCCUCUUGGUGAAGAACCUUUUCCUAACACCCAGCCUGAACCUCCCCUGUCCCAGCUCCCUGCUGUUCUGUCGUGCCCUGUCGCUGUCCCCAGAGAGCAGAGCUCAGUGCCUGCCCCUCCACUCCCCUCGUGAGGGAGCUGCAGGCUGCCAUGAGGCCUCCUCUCAGCCUCCUCUUCUCUGGGCUGAACAAACCAAGGGAACUCAGCCACUCCUCACACAUCUUGCCCUCCAGACCCUUCACCAUCGUCAUAGUCCUCCUUCAGGGGCUCUCUAAUAGCUUUAUGUCCUUCUUAUACUGUGGUGCCCAAACCUGCACGUGGCGCUCGAGGCGAGGCCGCGGCAGGCAGAGCAGUGUAGGACAAUCCCUUCCUUCACCCAGCUGGCAGUGCUGGGCCUGAGGCACCCCAAAAGGCUGGCCCUGUUGGCUGCCGGGGCCCGCUGCUGACUGGUGCAGCUUUGUAUGCACUUGAGUUCUGCAUCCAGAUCAUUGAGGAAAACACUGAAUAGAACCAUCCUUAAACAGAAGGCAAGCAGCGAUAUAAUCUGAUAUUAAGUUAGGUAGGGCAGAACAGUGAGGAAUUAUAGGAAGCCCCAGUACAUGACUGAAUAGCUAGUUUUCCCCCAGUUUUUACUUUUAUAAAUUGUUCUAGCUUUUCUACAAUGUAGUAGACUGUGACGGCUACUCAGGAACAAAAAUUUGGAGUUUUAUAGUGUUCAGCAGAAGUUUAUUAAAUAUUAGAGAGUAAGAACAAAAAUAGCAAACAGAAGACAACUUUAUACUCCUGUUUCAAAUAAUGGCGGUGGCUUUGCCCUUUCCUUGGAUACUGAUUGUACGCAAUUUUCUGUUCCUAUUGUCUUGGAAAGGAUAUGGUAGGACUUGGAAAGGGCCUGAGGCUAGUGACAGAGGUGAUCUAAAGCAUAGCAUAGCUUCCGUAGCAAGAAUGACUUAGUGGGCUGGGACUCCUCAGUCUGGGAGAGAUGAUUUAAAACAGAUACUAGAUGUUUACUGGAUCUGAAGUGGCAAGAAGCAGCUGGAUAGGAACUGACUGUUCACUGUCUCGUCCAGUACUAUGCAAGCUUAGGUUUACAAUUGAAGCUGUUAGGAGUUAGCUUCAAAGCAAACAAAAGGAGGUGAUGGUUCUUGCAGUGGAUAUUAGGUCAGGGGAAGUUCUUGCUCAAGGAUGUUGUGUCUGCAAAAAGAUAAAUGGGGAAAAAGGAGACUGAGCAAAUAUUUGAAAGGUGUUUUUGAGAGUAACCAAUGGACAAGUUAUGUCAGGCUUGGGAUAUUCACGGAGCUGAUAACUGAAGCAGAAAGAGUAGCAAGGGAGUAUUCUGCACUACCUCUCCCUUGGCAUUUGCUUGUAGGCACCACUGGAGACAGGAUAAUGCGCUAUAUAAUCCUGAAUGGUCUUACUGCCAGAUAGUACCUUUCUGAUAGAUUUAACGCAGUUGCUUUAUCACUGUUGCAUGAUUUUCUUUUCUGUAUGGGCUUCAUUUUGUAGAAGUUGUCUCUGCCUUCUGUGUAAGCUGGUCUAGACUCCCUCUGUAGGCAACAGAAAGCAAUAGCUGCGACGAGUUAUCUUUUGAAGGUGCCUGUUUCUCUCUGACCAGUGAGAACAGCCUUGAUAGCUUGCAUGUCCUCUGGAUGGUGGCCAACAGACAGUCACAGUACCACGGAUUUCGUUUUGACCUGCCACUGGUGGGAAGUCUGCGGACCCCAGGCAUCUGUCAGGGUAAAUGGAUGACUAAAGAAGUUAUUGCACGUUGUACUGACCUAAGACUUAUUUCUUGAGGGACAUGAUUUUUUCCCCUAUACAAUGUGUCCUAGUCCUUAACAAGUAUUUCUGGAUAUUGCUAUUAAUGAAUCAGCUUUGACUUUCUGGUGAAUUUCAGAUAAAUGCUUCUAGACUUUAGCAUGUCAUCUGCUCCUUUUGAAUGUUAUGAACAACAAACAUCUGCAAGCAACUGUGAGAGCAAGCAGUACUACCAGCCAGCACCUGCCUGUUCAGCUGCAACAUCCUGCUAGCGAUUCAUACUCCCCACCAAACUUACCGGGAGCGCUUAGAAUGACAAAAGCACAGAAAGAAAGAAGCUGUUCAGAAGACAGGAAACCAAGGAAACAGGAGCCCCUGCAGAGUUCAAAAACAGCCUCAAUGUGAGCUCUGUGAUGUCCCUUGCACAGGAGCAGACAGGAAAUAAUGAAGGAAAAAUAUUUGACUUCAUUGUGAGCUCCAAGUGCAGUUUUGAUGGCUUCAGUGCUGAGGAUAUGCAUGUUAAGCAGUGGAGAGGAACAGACUGCAAUACCAGAGACUAGAAUUAAUGCACAAAAUGCUUUGGUCAUGUCUGGAAAAGAGGAGGUGAAUGGCUCCUUCGUAGGCCUGCUGCAAAGCCAUAUCCCUUGAGAGAAGUAUAUAUAUAUUUGUUAUCAUUGUUUUAAGUUUUAUUGCUCUAGGACUAUUCCUUCUAAAUGAAGAAGCUGAUGUGUUGGCUUGUCCAUAGUGGCUGUUAUUCAGUUCUUUGUAAUUGAACACACAAUGCUUCAACGCAUGCUACUUGUCUCUUCCUGUCUGGGAGAGAUGUUUUUACACAGUCAGUGGAGGGAACAGAUAGCGUAAUUAAAUGUGUUGUCCAGCUGUUAUCACCUGGUCUUCUUAAAUGAAGAUGGGAAUCUAUAGCUGUGUUGUGGUUUUGGCUGGGCUGGAGUUAAUUUAGUAGCUGGUAUGGUGCUGUGUUUUGGAUUUAAGAUGAGGAUAAUGCUGGUAACACACUGUGUCAUUUGUUGCAUUGCAGAGCUUACACAGAGGUGGGACUUCUCAGCUUCUGGUGCUGCUCCCCCAGCCUCCUCAAUGGCAGGGCACAAGAGGAGGGGACACAGCCAGGACAGCUGACCCCAACUGGACAAAGGGAUAUCCCAUGCCAGGUGGUGUCAUGCAGAACAAUAUGGGAUGGCUGGAUGGGGUGAAUGGGGUGGCUGCUUGGGGUCUGGCGGGGCAUCAGUUAGUGAUGGUGAGCAGUUGCAUUUUGCAUCGCUUGUUUUGUGUAUUCUUUUUGUUUGUUUGUCUUCCUUUCCCAUUUUUUGUUAUGAAACUGUCCUUACCUCAACCCAUGAAUUCUUGCAUUUUUCUUUUCAAUUCUCUCCCCCAUCCCACAGGGGAUGGGAGGUCAGAGAAUGUCUGCGUGGUGCUUAGCUAGCUGCUGGGUUAAAUCACAACGAGCUGUAAUGCAGCAAAGGAACGCUUUCCAUACAUUUUCCAAACGUACCAGUAAGAUGAUGGCAGAUGAGUCCAAAUACUGCUCUAGUGGCAGCGCAGCAAACAAUUAUCCUGAGAAGUCACUAAGUGCACCAGUUUCAAUCUGAGUCAUUUUGUGUACAGCAGGCAAAAGAGGAAAGCUUGUGUUUACUUUCUGCUCUCUACAAGUUUGACUUAUGAAUCACAUUGCUGUACUAUGAUCAAUAGACACUUCUGUUACCACGCUUGGCACUUGACUGAAUAAUACACAGCUACUUCAGGCUGGAAAUCAGCAUGCAUAGUUUAGGUUCUUUGAAGAAGACCAGUACUGCAGAUAGAGGUGGAGAAGAGUUACAAUGGGAAGGGCAGUGGCUUCCCGUGGGCAGACCUGACAUGCUGUUACCUUUCCUGUCUACAAGUGUACUCAUCUGAUGACUCAUGUCAUAUGACAAACCACUGGUAGCAUCCACUUUACAGAAGAACUCUAGUCAAUCCAGAUAUGUUCCUCAUUUGGAAUGUGCACUUUUGCCUUAGAUUCACUGACAGGGCAAGAUCUGGAGAAAGAGGAAGAAAAUGAAGAGAAGAGUUACUUUCCAGCUACUAACAGAGGACAAAUAUGAAAUUUCAUCUGAUGCUGAAGGAGCAAGUAUAGUUACCUCUUCUUGCAAUGAGUCAACAAUGCAGGUCAGCAUUUCAGUGACCUCUUCUCCUGUGCAAGAAAAUACUACUCCUAACUCCUAACAGAAGUAGAGGAAAUUACUGUUCAGAGUAGACAAAAAGCAUUAAUAUGACAAAUUAAUGUACACCAAUUAUCAAAUUUAAAGUUGGUGUGUCGAUAGAAAUGGAUGUUAUCUGGAUGCUUAAGUCAAAAUACACGUCACAGUGACUGCAUCUCAAACCUAAAAUACUCCUAAAGCUCGUGGCCUAAUACUUUCACCCUAACAGCUUCCUCCAUGGGACGUUUUAAAGCAAUCUUAAUAAUUAACAGUAAUCUGUUAAAUAGGGAUUCUGAUGCUGUAGUUCAAGAGCCGAUGACUUUUGGAAAGCUGUGUUGCUGACUUAGUGAGAGAUACUGUCUGUGAUCACAGUGCUCACAGCAUCUGUACUCCAUGACUGCAGAUCUCAUAGAUCAAUUCAGUGCUAGUUUGGUAGCAACUGUCAUAUCAUAAACAAAAUUUUAAGCGUAUGCUUAGGCUAUUUCCAGUAGCAUUUUAGGUCAUAAAAAUUUGAUUAAGAUGCAAAGAAAAUUGUGUUCUUCCUAGACGUAGCAAAAGUGUUUCAGCCCAAUCUGUGUGAUUCUUCAAAUUAGCAGAAACACCUAGAAUUGCAGGCUGCUCUUCAUUGUCUUAAAUGUUUCCAGUGUGAAGGCCUUCCAAGCCAGUGCAUUUAGUUGAAUCAUGGUGUUUAUUCUGCAGCAUUGAUCUGUCUCCCUGUUGAAGGAAAACAUGCCAGAGCAGGACAAAAGGAGAUAUGGCUUUAUACUGCAGAAUUGACUGUGCUUGUUAAAGUGUAACUCUUGUCACUGAGUGUUUGUGGUGUGGGGGGGUUAUUUUUUUUUACUGAGCUUUCAGUAGUUAUAUCUUGUUCCUGCUCAUUCUGGCCUGGAGCUACUGUACUGUGGCCAGAAUAUUUCUAGGACACAAUCAGGAUCAUUGUGUGUGUUUGUUUGUUUUGUUACUAUUUUUCUCAGGUUUUCCUGAAGCAGGCUUUGAAGUCCAAAAGAUCUUUUUUCGUCUUUCAGGCUGUGAAGAUUGUGUAGCUGUUUUUCUGUUUCUCAGAAAAUGGCUAACAGGAACUCUCCUUUGAUAAUCCAAAAAAGAACUUUCAAAUACAGGUUUUCAAGUCAGGUGGUAAUUUCUUAAGAAAGUUGUAAGUACUUACCAUGCUAAUUCAGUCUCAGCAAAAACAAAUGGGCUUGAACAGACUAUUGAGACAGUAUGUACUUCUGCUAUCCCUGAAUCCAUAAAUAUUUCUGCUUAUUCUGUAGCUGCUCAGAUAUUGAGCGUAAUUUGGUAGCCAUCAUUUCACUGUGCAAAUCAGGGUGACUCUGUAGGCUAGUUGUUUUUAUCCCCUUCGUAUUUUCUGUCACUGAGUAACAGUGCUGUAUUGCAUCUUUUUUCUCAUUGAAAGAAAAUUCCAUUAAAUGCUGUUCAUAUAAUAUUAUAGUUGCUUAAGAUCAAAGUCAUUAUUAACGUUUGUGGGCUUUGUGCUUGCAAAACAACUUAUUUAUGUGUUUGUUUUUAUAUUUACUGGUGACUCUUCUCUUUUCCCCAUAAAGGCUAAAGGUCUGUAGUUAAAUGUGAUUAUCAUCGAAGUUCUGCAAAGACCUUUGCCAGCAUGUACCCACCUGUGGGGCUCUUCUGGACUGUGUGAAUACAUAAAAAACCUUCUCUGUCGUGUCAUAACAGCAGUUAAAAGAAAGAUGUGAUGUAGCAUUAAGGAGCAGCAAUGCUCAUUAUCUGAGGGGCUGUAGUGAAGUACAAAAUCAGUUAGUAAAUCUCACUAGUAAAUUGGAAAUGGUAGUAAAUCCAAGCUAAAGAUCACAGACUUCAGUAGGAUGCAGGAUUUAUUAUACAUCUAUCCUUGCUUUUUUCUUUUUUGUAGCCCUAGAUAAAGUAUCUUGCUUAGAAGGACAGUAUGAAAUUCAAAACACGAGCAGGUUGUUUCAGGAACUCAUAGUCUAUGGAUAAAAGUCAGCAUUUCUGGGGUGUGGUUAAUUUCUUUCUAAGGUUGACUUCAAGAGCAGACCUGCUGAAUUGCAAGUCUUCCUCUUCAACUGUAAAGGAGAAAGGUAUGUAGAUAAGUAAAAUUAGGUGAGGUGCCCCCCUUCACACAGUGGGGUGUAUCUGCUCUAACUUUGGCUUUGUAAAGUUAGAUCUCAAGAUGAGAUAGCCUUCGUAGAAAGUGUAAAGAAGAAUAGCUAGUCCAUGUGACUAGCUAACAGAAAUAAUGUUAAAUCAGGAUUUUCCACUUCUGCAUUGAGUUAUACAGGUACUCUUCAAACUGUGUUAACAUAGCGACUUUGCUGUAGCGCAGAGAUAUGGGGACCGCUGCUUUGGGUUACUGGUUAUAAUACUAUGUCUGUAGUCUUGUGGGUGGCCAACAUGGCUACUAAGCAUGUAACAAAUACAUAUUUAUUAUUUUCCAGUCAAACUGAACCUCCAGUAUCAGUUAUGGUGGUUUCAUUCAUUUAGCUUCAGUUUUCUCUUGUUUGGAGUGGCUAAGCCGUGCUUGUGCUACGCUGGAAGUUUGAACCUGGCAGCAGGACUUUUUGUAAAAAGAAAAAAAAAAAAAAGCUUUAAACAGGGCAUUAAGCCUGUUAAAUCCUGGCAAUCCCAUGCAGCGUCUUCUUGAAGGUGGCGUGUCAGGAAUGCCGUUGGAUGGUGGGUAUAGAAUCAUUUAGGUUGGAAAAGACCUCUAAGAUCAUCAAGUCCAACUGUUACCCGAGCACUGCCAAGUCUACCACUAAUCUGUGUAAUCACAUGGUGUCAUCACAUCAGUACCCAGGAGACUCACGGGAACCUUUGGCAGAGCAGCUUGUGCCGCGAAUGUUGUUCCUCGGUUUUGCUGCCUCUUGUUUGUUUUCUUACAGAAGUGUUGCUAAGUGCCACGGUUUGUCUCUACUGCACUGCUGAGUUGCUCUGUUAAAAUAAUAUUGAUAGCAACACUUUCUCCAGGAAGGAGAGACCUGUCUUCGCUUUCUGAUUCAUAAGGAAAGACAAACACCUGAAUUUGUCAGAGAUGUAUUUCAGGCCCCCCAGGCGUUUGCACUUGGCUUUUACAAAGCUCAUACUGAUUUUCUGAAUACUUGCAUUGUUAUUUAUAGAAAAGCUUUUAAGGGAAGCCUCCAAUGCUGUAACUUUGUGCUCAUUCUGGAGAAGCUAAAGCUUUAUCAGUUUGUCACAUUUUCUUACUUAAGGAUGAACCUGGGCUGCAACAUGUCCAUUAGAAAGAUAAGUUGGAUGCUUUGGAGACUGACCAGUUGGCAGUAAGAUGAUGUUACAGCCUGUGCACUGGUAGAAAAGAAGAGCAGUUAAUAACAGUUGACAAGGACUCUUUAGCAAAUGUUCCUGGCAGUGGUAUACUGGAGAUCACAACUGCAAAUAACUUUUUCAAAGUACUGAGAGAUGUGAUCUGCAUUUUAUUUAUGAAUAUAUUUCUAUCACUUUAAACACAGAAAUCAUGCUGAUACUGCUCACUUCUUAAUAAAGAGGUUCAUCAAAGUGAAUGAAUACUUCAAAUGAGGGUCCAGUUGUCUUUAAAUAUGUUACUUGUUUUAAGUGUUCCUAUCUGCCAUUCUGUCCUCUGUCACAAUUUGUGUUCCGUGUGUAGAAAACCAUAGAACUUAAUGUAGCAUGUGGAAUUGUGCUGUGUGUAACUCAAGCCCUCUUCCAUUCUGUCUGCUCAGUUAUUCUCAGUUUGGUAGAUAGAUGGAUCAUUUACAUAUAAUUACUUUUCCAUUAACGUUUAAAAUUUGCCUGAUCAUGCUGUUUCUUUGCAGUGAAAGCAUUUACUUUCUUGACCAACCCAGAAUAAGCAAACAUUAAGAUCCUACAGUUAUUCAUGUUAAAUGUAGUGGAAGAGAUUUGAGUACUAGACUAAUUUAGUUUCUGUAGCGAGCCUUGCCUGAAACUUCUGUGGCUUGUUACAGAAGUUUGAAUAAGAAAUUUACAUUACUGGUUAGCAUGUAGAACUAUUUUACCAGUACAGUCACUCUGAACUUGCAUCUCUGUCCUACCUAUUCCUUAGCUCUGUUACUUGUUUGCUGUGGUCUGUUACAGCAUUUCCUACUUCAUUCCUAACUACUUCUACAAAAUGAAGAAACUCAGGAGGAUGGAGGCAAUUGAACUUUCUCCUCAUGGCAUAAAGGAAAUUGUUUCUGUAGAAAACUACAGCUUACGAUUAAACUCAUUGUUUUAACCUACCCCCACCCCCUAAAGCAAACAAACAAAAGGAAAUCUCAAGCCCCACGUCAAUUUCUGGCUAUAACAUUUCUGUCAAAAGCUCAUUAUAUUCUCAAUAGAAAGACCUCAGCGACUUCAGCUCAGACACCAAAUUUUUAACUUCUUGUUUUCAA